GUCUGGGUGGCUCAGUCUGUUGAGCAUCUGACUCUUGAUUCAGUUCCGGUCAUGAUCCCAGGGCUGUGGGAUCGAGCUCCACCUCGGACU
rnacentral:tRNA from 1 species